CUAGGUGCCUUCCCCUUAACCCCCUGGGAACAAAUUAAACAGAACAAUAUUAACAAUUUCACAAACACACUGAGUAAUAAAGGAUAUCAAAUAAGUUCUGACUGAGCAACAAACUCUCACAGAACAUACCAAAGCUGCUCCCACCUACAACUAACAUAGUACAUACCAACUGCCUGAGAAACCACCAACAUAUGCUAAUAACCAUCAGCGAUCCUCACGCAGCACAAUCCUCUCUCUCCUGAACAACAGAACACUGGCUUUUAUAACUGGAGAAGGAGUCUAAUGGGAUACAGCUGUUCACAAUAACAGUGGAGGCUGGCUCAGCUGGGUCUUUGGGAGUGGAAYAGCUAAUAAGAAGGAGGUUCAUCUACCUGAGGACAAAGACAGAUCUGUUAGGAACUGGUUCUUAACACUAUAUUCUAUGUAGAGACAAUUGAGUGGAUUUUGUUUAAAAAAAAUUGUGGCUUGCUUCACAUUGCUAAUAUCUUCUUCCUCAGAUUGUCUGGGAUCCAACUCUGCACAGAUGGGUUAACAAAACUGAGCCCAAGGCUGAGGUACARACUUAAAUUCAAUUAAAUUAAAAACAGUGAACAACCAUUGUAUUUCAACUGUGAUAAUAUUACUAACAAUUUGGAAAAAUUGUUGAUGUGUUUUACAGGACAAGUGUGUACCACCACCUCCACCGAUGGGGACAUAUGGAUAUCAGGGGAACACUGGCAGUGUCCCCAAAGGAGUGAAUCCCUACUCUAUGAAAGCAGCAGGUCUAUGGGGRAGCAGAUACCCUACAAUGCAUUUCAAUGAUGGGACCAACUCAAAGCCUCCAAGCCAUGGGCCUGGACUGCUUACUAAACAGCUCUCUGGCUUGCUCCCUCCUUCACACUUUGACCUCAUGGCACCAAUGGUUGUGCCACCUGACACUCUACCUUACUGAGGCCAAUUAACCAGAGUGGAUUUGCCAAACAUAGAUUUUUUCAGUGUUAAAAAACUUCAGCAUUAAAAAAUAUUAAAAGAUGAUUUUUUAAAUUAAAUCUCUCCUUUGUGUCCUCAUGUAAUUUGAUGUGUUCUAUCAUCGUUUACAAUGCUUAUUGCUUCUGCAUUGCUUUACGUUACAGACAAGUGUAUAUUAUACACAUAUAUUUUAUUUUAGAAAUGCAUUUUGGAUUUCCUACAUUUACUUACUGUACAGACAAAUAUAUUUUAUACACAUAUAUAUAUAUAUAUAUUUUAAACAUUUUUUAAAAUGUAUUCCAUAGACAGAUCUAAAUAUAUUUAGAUGCAUUUUGAAUUUCUAAAUGUCAAUAUUUUUACUAUCUGUGUCACGUGUUUAUGCCCAUUUAUGUACAUCUUGUUAACACCUCACACAGAUGGUCAGUGGCUUAAAAAAGAAGACAACAGUAACAUGUCAGAUAUAGUUUAAAUGUAUUCAUUGUUGAGUUUGCACCCCAAUAUGACACUUGAAAUAUUUCACAGAAGACUGAAAUGUAACAAAACACCUAUUGUGUUUAUUGAGAUGUACACGGAGAUCCUCAGUUGGUCAAUAUUCCCCUCCAGUGAUUCCCCAACAUCUUGUCAACAUGGGCCUCAAAAAUUAUCUCCAAUAUAUUGUCAAUGUAAAAAGCCUGUCUGAUUAGAAUGAAUGAUGUCCGACAAUACAUUUUUAAUUCUAUGCGCUAUACGUUUUGCUAGCAUUUUUGCAUCACAACACUGAAGUGUAAGGGGCCUCCAAUUUUUUUAUGGACUGGAUCUUUAUAUUUACCACUUUGAAUCGUGUUUCAGUAAUAAUGAAGGAGUYGUUAAAACAUGCUAAUAACYGUCCUCUGAGGAUAUCAAAAAAGGUUUAUCAGAGUUAUUGACCUCACAAGAAGUCAGAUUCGAGUAACUUACAUUGUGGUGCUGAAACUUGAAGCAGCAGCCACGGCACAAACAAUUGGAAAUGGACAGCUCAUGGUGCUGAAAGUAUGCAAAUUGGAGUAAACAUUAUUCAUUWUAAACGUCUUCAUUUUAAUUAGGGAUAUGUGUUGGAGCCUAUAUCUUCCUAUUUAAGAAAUAAGAGGUAGGCCUACCUGUUUGACAGAUGAAAUUAGGCUAUAGGCUGCUAUAUCCAUAGGUAUGUUAGUCAAUUCCUCCACCCGCCAUGCACUCUUUAAAUAGCCCACCUCCCCUCUAGUCUGAGUUGUAAACGUCUUCAUUUUAAUUAGGGAUAUGUGUUGGAGCCUAUAUCUUCCUAUUUAAGAAAUAAGAGGUAGGCCUACCUGUUUGACAGAUGAAAUUAGGCUAUAGGCUGCUAUAUCCAUAGGUAUGUUAGUCAAUUCCUCCACCCGCCAUGCACUCUUUAAAUAGCCCACCUCUGUGUCUGUUAAGACUUGAAAUUAGUUCGUAUGAGAGGGUAUGCCAUAGGCCUACCUUUUCUUAAAGAAAAGGGCAAAAAGUACACUGUUAGUUUAAGAUUCUGAAGAAAAUUAAACAGAUGUGAUUAUAUACAGUUAUCUAUAACAACGCUURGGUCCGCGAUUCUUAAUGCUAGAAACAAGCUGUAAAAUAGGAAUACCCAGGAAAGAUGUGACUCUGAUGCAUAUGGGGAUAUUGUUGUUUCAUUUGGAAAUAAUCUAAUUCUGUCACCAUCAAUUGAUUAAGCUAUUCACAUUCUGUACAAUAAAAUACAUUUAAACCUAGACAGCUUUUAGGGAAACAAUUGUGACCUCUCGUUGGGUUAAACCAAGGAAGAAGAUUAGCCAGUCAAUUGAUGGUAGAUCACCUUCUGACCCCGUGCUCGCCAGGUGACCGGGUGCCAUAGAAUUGACCUGGAUGGAUGUGCCUAGCGACAAGCUGCUGGAGCCCAUCAUCUGCAUGGUGAGAAACACACAUUCACAGCACAGACAUACUCACAUUCACUGCUCACAAACAUACUGGAACAUGCUGUUUCAACAUACACAUCCAGGCAUUGCAAACUGACUCUCACAUUUGUGUAAUUUCUGAACCAUGCUCAUGAUUUUGUUUGUCUUCUGUGUGUGUCCCUCUGCCCUCCAGUCUGACAUGCUGUGCUCACUAUCCACCACGCAACCCACAGUCAACAUGGAGGUCUUGUUCAAGGUCAGGAAGUUCACAGAGGACUUAGAGCAGGAGGGUUGAGAGGCCCUACUACUCCUUACUCAGUCUCUCCUAUCAAGACCCAACUCCAGUCAAAUAGUAGCUACAGUAGUACAACACUACGAACCUGCAUUGGCAGGAAUGAUGGAGCAUUUAAAUUUACACACAAUUGGACAAUGGAAAUGUUUUUUUUGCAUACCCCAACUCCCUCUGAGACACCCACAAGUGCCUUGCUCAAGGGCACAGCGACAUCAUUAUUUAUUUCCCCAUGUGGUCGGCUCUGGUAUUUGAGCCAGCAACCUUUCGGUAACUGGCCCAAUGAUCUAAUCUUGAGGCUACGUGCCGCCCCUUAGAAUGUAGGGUGACUCCCCUAGUGGGUCCUGAACCCAGGUCAGCAGCACUACAUUCCUGUGUGUCUGUAUAGUUGAGGGUAUAUUGGUUUAGUAAUACUCAAUUCAGUUCUGGUACCAGAGGAGACCUCAAUGCUGUUACACGUAGCCAUGAUCACCAAGCUACCCUGACUUAAUAAAACCUGAAUUCAAAAAGAACAAGAUGUGGUUGUCAUUAUUUUAUUUUAACUUGUAUUAUAGUAUGCCCACAUUUCUGUCCACUACUUUUGAAUCAGGUAGCAAUUWAAUGUAAGGGGCUUAAUACAGUUCCAGCCACUAGGCGGUACUCUGGUGAAGCCCAUGGGAAAUAAAGAAAUGUAGAUUAAAUGAAUUGGGAAGAGUAAGAAUGAAAAACUAAAGAAAGUCUUAAAUGAUUGUUACCUGUGCUGAUAUGAUUAAAAGUGAAGUAAACCGUACUUUUCGCGUUGUAGUUUAUAUAAUAAGCUCAUUGGAAGGGAAACAUAAACAGAUACAUGUGCUGCCUUUCCAACUGAUGUCAAGUUCCAACACAAAUAUUCAAAUAUUCAUGGGGUGGCAGGGUAGCCUAGUGGUUAAAGCAUUGGACUAGCGCAAGUUCAAAUCCCCGAGCUGACAAGGUACAAAUCUGUCAUUCUGCCCCUGAACAGGCAGUUAACCCACUGUUCCUUGGCAGUCAUUGAAAAUAAGAAUUUUUUAUUUUUUAAUUUUUAAAAUUUAUUUCACCUUUAUUUAACCAGGUAGGCAAGUUGAGAACAAGUUCUCAUUUACAAUUGCAACCUGGCCAAGAUAAAGCAAAGCAGUUCGACACAUACAACGACACAGAGUUACACAUGGAGUAAAACAAACAUACAGUCAAUAAUACAGUAUAAACAAGUCUAUAUGAUGUGAGCAAAUGAGGUGAGAUAAGGGAGGUAAAGGCAAAAAAAGGCCAUGGUGGCAAAGUAAAUACAAUUAGCAAGUAAAACACUGGAAUGUAGAUUUGCAAU
rnacentral:lncRNA from 1 species